CAUAUGUUCCUGUAGAGAUGGACAUACUGUUCACAUUACUGAAGUCCUCCCUUGCUGGCUCAGCCAUGCUGUGUGGCCACCUCUUCUAUCCCCACUCCUCUCGGAAGCCCAGCUCCACCAGUUCAACCCCCUCCUACCACUACCACCACCACCAAACCUUUCUCCUUCAGCGGAUGCAGAAGACACUUACCUUCCUAGUAAGCUAAUCUAAUCGUAUGCCUAAAACAAGACAGCAACAGCUUCCAGAAGUCCUGGCCUUUUAAUUCCAUAUGGUCUUGGAGGGGAUUUUUGCCCUGAGUUGUCUUUAGGAGAAAUCUCAUUUUGAAGAACUUUCAUCUGGGCUGGAGAGAGGAGGGCAGUCUCCUGAAAGAGACUACAGAACCCAGAUGUGAAGACGGCUGAAUUCCUCAGUGCUCAGACAUGCAUUCAGGCCACCUUCAAAUGUUGGUUAUUUCCAGGACAGUAUCAGGAGCCCAGUGUGGAAGCCAAUGUCAUACACUGAGUUGUUAUUAUCAAAUCUUGGGGAGUGUUCUCAAGUGUUCCAGGAAACAGCGCGUUGUUUGGCAUCUGCUUGAAUCUGUGAUAUAAUCCUUUCUGGUUCACAGCAAGCUUUGUUCUGCUCUACAUCACUGUGGGUUGCACAACCCACUGAAUGCCGUGCUUAAUCUGACAGCCAUGUCUGAAUAGAAUAUCUUUAGUGAUUGCCAAAAUGUAUUGGGCAUAUUGAUCAAAAAUGAACAGCACAUCCAAAUUUAUUUUGCAUCACACCAUUUAUAAAUCAUUGGUUUGGACAAAUGCAGUCCAAGAUUCCUACUUUCUCUGUUCUCUUUUAUUAUGUUCUUUUACAUAAAACUGUAUUUAACUUCCGCUUUUGCCAAGAUAGUUUGUGGGGAUUUUUUUUUUCGCUUCCCAAAUGCCAACUUUCCUGCUGAGUUAAAUCAGGUCAUGAAACAGUAAUAUCUAAACACAACUCUGGUUCCUCAGUGAAGGAAUCCAGUUUUUAGAGAUUGUGUGCAUGAAAAAAUUAUGAGCUUGAUUCACAGCCACUGGUAAUUGAGUGCUGCUGGUCUGAACUCCAUUCUUUCCUCUGUAAAAUAAGAGUUAAUAAUGCUACCUACCUGUGAAGAUUAGAUGAGGUAAUACAUGGAUUUUGUGUGGCACAAUGUUUAGUUAGUCCUAAUUUCCUUUUCUUCAUGGCCCUGUCCUCUUCAGGGUACCUCUAUGUGUUUGUUGUGCUGCUGUUUGAAGGAUUUGGAUCAGGUCUAAAGGACAGAUGAGUUGGAACUGACAGCCAGUCAGUAAACAAGAGUUAG